UCUUCCCAGUGUCUUUUGGAUACUCCCCUCUCCUUUGUAUUCACAUAACAAUUGUUAAUGUACAAAAGUAGUAUGAAGGAAUUCUUUAUUUUCAGCUUCUUCUAAUAUAAUUUAGCAGCUGAAAACAAGGAAGAGAAACCAGCACCAUAUGACCAACCAGCUGUCCAGGGACUGCCAGUACCCUGUUCUCUCCACCCCUAGCAGGGUGCACACCUGGGCUUUCCAACUACAUCCCACAAGAGGCAGCAAACAGCCAUUCUGGCUUUUAGAGACUCAAUCCCAGUCAUGUAGGGCAAAUGCAACUUGAGGGGCUAGGCCGGGGCUCGACCCUCUCUGGGGCAGCGUGAAGUCAUACCAGCUCGCUACAGCCAGUUGACUUUGGGCAAAUUUGUCCGGCCACCGGAGUCUCCCUCGGCAGCCCUUGCGGUAACUGGAAUGAGCACCCUAGGCCCGGGCCCUGGGUCAGGGCGGGGCCCCAAACAGUCAGUAGCUCAGGCCCUCGGGCAGAGGCUGAGCAACACAGCGUGUGUGAAUUAGCCCAGACCUCCAAGGACCUGGAAGGGGGGAGACUGUCACCCACAAGCUGGGUGGCAGGGGGGGACGCUGGCCUACCCACUCCACUGCGUCCCAGCCCGGGGCCCUAGCAGCAGCAAACAACCACGGCUGGGUCAGUGGGGAUCCUGAGCGCAACACACUGACAUGGGUUCUGGCAGAGUUACAGCCAGACUAGGGUCAGCUGUCCCCAGGCUGCUUCCUACCUCCCCUCCUUCUGGUACCUGGGUCACGGCGCUGUUCCCCGGGGGGUCCAGCACCAUGGGUUCCUCGGGGCAGUGGACAAGCGGCAGGCCUGGUAACUCCCCCGGAUAGCUGGCGCAGGGCAGGUCCGGCCCGUCUUGGCGUGGACCUGGGGCCGCAGGGUUUUCCCAGUCGCGGGCUAGGGGGGCUACGUCUGGC